UUGGUCAGAUCACCCCAGACAUGGGUGGUGAGGGGAUGGUUUGAUGCUGUCUGCAAGGUUUCAGUCACCAGUCAGGACAUCAAAGUGAUUGCAAUCUCUGCCCAUGGAGAUCUCUUCCUUUAGCCAAAGCAGCAGAGAUUCUAGCUGCUGGAAUGAGGAGGUGGAUCUGGAGGAGAUGGUUGCAGAGCUGAGGCAAACGUUUCCCUUUUAAGGCUCCUUCUCCACCCAAAUUCCUCUUCCAUGCAGUCACUGGUGUGUUCCCAGUCCUCUCUGCUGGCAAACCCCAGGGUGUUUCCCCCUCCACUCAGCACUUGGACAAAGAGAGGUUGAGGGAAGCUUGAGGCCAGAGCCAAAGGAAGAGUUUCCUUGUGACUUUAGGGGCAUGUUGGUGCCUGAAAUUCCUCUUCAAUGCACAAGGUCCCUGGAAGCUGUAAGCCUGCUCUGCACAGGACACAGUGUUGCUGGCUUUUUGUAUGAUUCCCUCUGCUCUCAGCUAGCUGAGCUGCAAACAGUCCAUGCUCAAAGAUCCGAGAGGUCUUUUCCACCCACAACAGUUGUGUGAUCCUCUAUGGCCAUGGUGGUGCCAGG